CUAAGGGCUAUUUGAAGCUGUAGGAGCUGUAAGUAUUAAAUGACUGGCCAUGUGCUUUACAAAACUCUAUUUUAUUCAGAGUGAUUCUAUUGCUUUUUAGCUUAUGUACCAAACAAACUCACAAUAUUAUAGACUAUAAUUGUCCAAUUUGAACUAUCUUUUAUAUUAAUUGUGUAAUAUACAUAGUACCACUUUUUAUCCUUUUUUUUUCAGUUUUAAAUACCAACAUCUUCCUCUCUUGCUGGCUGGAUUGAAGAGGUACGGAAAUUAGAGUGUAAAGGAUGGAUUUAUUUGGUAACUGGUUGUGUUGGCUCCUGGGACUUGUUGCUACAAAAGAUUCCAAUCAUUUCCUGGUGCCCUAGCGGUCCAUAGAGCUGCAUGCUCUGUCUCUGCUCUUAGGAUGAGGGGCUCUAGAGCUGCAUGUUCUCAGGAUGAGGGACUCUAGAGGUGCAUGUUCUCAGGAUGAGGGGCUCUAGAGGUGCAUUCUCUGUCUCUGCUCUCAGGAUGAGGGGCUCUAGAGCUGCAUGCUGUGUCUCUGCUCUCAGGAUGAGGGGCUCUAGAGGUGCAUUCUCUGUCUCUGCUCUUAGGAUGAGGGGCUCUAGAGCUGCAUGUUCUCAGGAUGAGGGACUCUAGAGGUGCAUGUUCUCAGGAUGAGGGGCUCUAGAGGUGCAUUCUCUGUCUCUGCUCUCAGGAUGAGGGGCUCUGCAUGCUCUGUCUCUGCUCUCAGGAUGAGAGGCUCUAGAGAGGCAUGCUCUGUCUCUGCUCUCAGGAUGAGGGGCUCUAGAGGUGCAUUAUCUGUCUCUGCUCUCAGAAUGAGGGGCUCUAGAGCUGCAUGCUCUACCUCUGCUCUCAGGAUGAGGGGCUCUAGAGGUGCAUUAUCUGUCUCUGCUCUCGGGAUGAGGGGCUCUAGAGCUGCAUGUUCUAAGGAUGAGGGGCUCUAGAGCUGCAUGCUCUGUCUCUGCUCUCAGGAUGAGGGGCUCUAGAGGUGCAUUAUCUGUCUCUGCUCUCGGGAUGAGGGGCUCUAGAGCUGCAUGUUCUAAGGAAUGAGGGGCUCUAGAGCUGCAUGCUCUGUCUCUGCUCUCAGGAUGAGGGGCUCUAGAGCUGCAUGGUCUGUCUCUGCUCUCAGGAUGAGUGGCCAUAGCAAUGCAUGCUCUCAGGAUGAGGGGCUCUAGAGCUGCAUGUUCUGUCUCUGCUCUCAGGAUGAGGGGCUGUAGAGGUGCAUUAUCUGUCUCUGCUCUCAGGAUGAGGGGCUUUAGAGCUGCAUGUUCUCAGGAUGAGGGGCUCUAGAGCUACAUACUCUGUCUCUGCUCUCAGGAUGAGUGGCCAUAGCAAUGCAUGCUCUCAGGAUGAGGGGCCAUAGCAAUGCAUGCUCUCAGGAUGAGGGGCUCUAGAGCUGCAUGUUCUGUGUCUGCUCUCAGGAUGAGAGCCUCUAGAGCUGCAUGUUCUGUCUCUGCUCUCAGGAUGAGGGGCUCUAGAGCUGCAUGUUCUGUCUCUGCUCUCAGGAUGAGGGGCUCUAGAGCUGCAUGUUCUGUCUCUGCUCUCAGGAUGAGUGGCUCUAGAGCUACAUGCUCUACCUCUGUUCUCAGGAUGAGGGGCUCUAGAGCUGCAUGUUCUGUCUCUGCUCUCAGGAUGAGGGGCUCUAGAGCUGCAUGCUCUACCUCUGUUCUCAGGAUGAGGGGCUCUAGAGCUGCAUGCUCUACCUCUGCUCUCAGGAUGAGGGGCUCUAGAGGUGCAUUAUCUGUCACUGCCUCGGGAUGAGGGGCUCUAGAGGUGCAUUCUCUGUCUCUGCUCUCAGGAUGAGGGGCCAUAGCAGUGCAUGCUCUCAGGAUGAGGGGCUCUAGAGGUGUUGGAGUUUAACCCCAGAUCACAGACCAACUUAAUCCCAAAAAUCCUGUUUCACAAUAACUUCUAUGGCUUUCACUAACAAACAUAGUAUUAACAGUAUAUUGUCCAUCCCUCCGCCACUCGAAAGAUUAAUGACACCGUUACUGAUUUUUAACAUGGGUUUUGAUCUUUAUGCUUAUAAGUAAUCAAAGCAUCACAAAUGGCACACACAGCGCAGGCGUUAACACUCAGGCGGUGUAGUAAGUGCAAUGGUACACUGACUAAUCAAUGUAUUUCCUCUUUCAGCCAGUCAAAACCGCAGCCAUGAGCAGCGAUGCAGAGAUGCAGAUUUACGGCGUGGCCGCAGUGUUCCUGCGCAAACCCGAGAAGGAGCGUAUUGAAGCUCAGAACCAACCGUUUGAUGCCAAAACCCACUGCUACGUGACUGACCCAACUGUGGAUUAUGUAAAGGGAAAAAUUAAGAGCUCAGAUGGUGGUAAGACCACUGUGGAGACGGACGAUAAUCGGGUAAGGAAUUAUCAUUACGGACAAUCUUGGCGAAUAAUUCACAAUGGGUUUUAUUCACGGAACCCCGAACUGUAGAAAAUUGGGGAAAAAACAAAACAAAAUUUAGGCAACAAAGGUGAAUGAUUUUUAAAAGCAACCAAAAAACUUUCUAAAGUUGUGCAAUCUCCAUGAUGUACAGUGCAAUGAUCAAAACCAUUUCACUAGUUUCCAUGGUGACUGCACAACCUUUACAACAGGAUCAGCAAAAUGAUACAUCCUCAGCUGGUGCAAAACUACAACUCUCAUAUUACUUUACCAGUCCGAAAGUUGGCAGAUAAUUCUAGGAGUUGUGGUUUGGCAACAAAUUGGGAUCUACAUCCUGGCUAGAACUUAGAACGUAUCUUCUUCCCAUCUGAAUCUCACCCCAUCGCUCAGUAUAUGGCAAAAUAGUAAGAUACAAUUUUUUAAAAAGGAUUUAUUUAAAAUGUGAUUGAUAAUAUAUAGCAAAGAUGAUGGUUAAAUUAGAACUGACAUCCAGGAAAGGUCUUGUGGAAAAUUCAGUCUUUAUGUUAAAGGGACACUAUAGUCACCAAAACAAUUUUAGCCUAAUGAAGUAGUUUUGGUGUAUAGAUCAUGCCCCUGCAGUUUCGCUGUUCAGUUCUCUGCCAUUUAGGAGUUAAAUCACUUUGCUUAGGCAGUCCUAGACACAGCUCCCUGCAUGUGGCCUACAGUCUCCCUACACACUUCAUGUAAAGAAACAUCCAAUUACAUAUAAUUUCAUAGGUUUAUAGGCUGAAAAGACUUGGGUCCAUCAAGUUAAGCCUUUCUCACAUCUGGUUUUCUGUUUCUUAAGCUUCAUUUACUGCACAGCCUGUUUAAUUUAUAAUGUCUUAUCCCAUGAUCUAAUAUCCUUCUAGGCUCUGCAGGAUUCUCCUGUGUGUGUGAGUAAUGUUCAACAGAGCAGGAGAGAAAAACUUCUAAAGUAAACACAGUGUACUGAAAACAGCAAAACAUAUAAUCAUUUUUAUGUUGGCUGCGGGAGUCACAGCCAGUGGAGGUGUGACUAGGGCUGUAUAAACAAAGUGAUUAAACUCAUAAAUGGAAGAGAAAUGAGCAUUGAGACCGCAGGGGCAUGAUCUAUACACUAAAACGCUUAAUUAAGAUAAAGUUGUUUUGGUACUUAGAGUAUCCCUUUAAGAUAAAACUAUUAGCGCCAAAUGUAUAAAAUAAACUAUAUUUUUGUAGUUUGGCAUAUUUCUUACAAUAUCAUCAGGCUAUGUCUGAUAUAUAUUAUAUGUGUACAUUUGCAAGCAUGCUUGCUGCUCAGUGUUCAAAUGAAAAGUUACCUCGACCAUACCGUGUCCUUUUUCUUAAGACAGAUGUAGUUUAAUUUUUGGAAAUACUAAAUACUUCAUGAAACUGCACAGUUGUAUUAUGGACGUUUAAAUGAAUGCAAAGCUCUAUUCUAGUGUCCUUGUCCCUAGUUACACAGGUCCCCAUCCCCUUUGUGUGUCCCAUAAAAAAUUAUAAAACAAUUGUUUUUAUUUAACUUUUUGCAGUACCAAAACUCCCUUGGCGCUACUCACCUCUCCUCCUCUUGCAAGGUCAUGGAGGAAGUGUAGCCUCCUCCAGCGAUGGGUCCAAUCCAAUCCUUUUUAUUGACAGGCAUUGGGGACCUGAUGCACAUGUAUAUGUGUAUGUGUACAUUCUGGCCCGGUUUAUUCACUAAACUGUGAAUUGAAUAUAGACUUAUAAAUUCAGAAUGAAACAGCCAAGCUGUAUUUAUAUAUGUGAAAUGGAGAAUUUUACCAGCUCGACUAUUCGGCCUACAUUUUGAUUUUCAAAUCACUCUAAUUCUAUUACCUAAUAAUGGUGGGGAACAUCUUACCGCUCAUUGUUUUGUUUUUUUUGUCACGUUCCAAUCUAUUCCUGCAAUCGAGAUGUUCUAUGAUUAGAGCAUAAACAUUUCAGUAAAUGCUUUAAUUACAAGCUACUCCAAUUUGUUACUAAUAAGCCCACUUGUGUCUGUAUGUCCGACGUGUCUGAAAUCAAACUACAUUUGUGUGUAUAUUUGCCUCUGUCUCAUGCAUUUGUCAUUUUUCGAUUUUUCGCUAAUACUUGUAUUUAAGUAAAGAUUAUCUUAAUCUUUCUACCCAGUAUGUUUCAAUUUUUUGCUUUUAUGUCUUGUAUGUAAGCGAGUCAAACAAAUCGAUUGGUUCUCCAUAACAUUCAAGUGUGACAUAAGAAUAAGGACACUAAUAAAGAAAUAGAAAUUUGCAUGCUAUAAUUAUAUCCCCCUCUCCCCCCAAAUAAUUGUCUUUUAUAUUGGCCAGGAUCUGCAUUAGUUUUAUAUAGUAAUUAUAAAAGGAACACAUGAAAAAGAUAAUGAAAAAAAAUAUAAAAAAUACCUCUACUGAUCCAUUGACUGUAAAAAAAAAAAAAUAUAAAAAUCCAUGAUUAAAAUUGUGUAAGGGAAAAAGAUAUAACACAUACAGAGAAAUAUAUCGUCUACGUUACGUAGUUACUGGCCCCAUAGAUACUCUGAAUGAAGUCAUAAUAGUUGUACUUAUAUCCAUUUUCUGGCACACAACUUGUUUACCAUAAUUGACCUCAGUCGAGCAACUUGCUUGUCGAAAGACCUGCUCUUCUUAAUUCAAUCUUUCUUAUUAAAAUCUCAGACCGUCACCGUUAAACCUGAAAAUGUGUUCCCUAUGAACCCGCCUAAGUUUGACAAAAUAGAGGACAUGGCGAUGCUGACCCAUCUAAAUGAGCCAGCCGUGCUGUAUAAUCUGAAGGAGCGCUACAAGGCCUGGAUGAUCUAUGUAAGUGAAGCUUCCAUAUCUCCUGGACAAUCUUUCUUCCUCUUUGAGGGCAUCGUGAGAGACUGGGGAUUUUCAUCAAAGUAUGAGACAUAGUAAGGAAUGUAAGGGGAAUACAGAGGUAUUUGCAAGACAUUUUAUAGAUUCCUGGUAAGAUCUCACCAAGAAUAUUAUGUUCAGUUCUAUAGAGUUGAUCCUCAGGAAGACAUAGAAAGGUAGUAAUAGUACUAUAUAGAUCCCUGGUAAGAUAUUACCUAGAUUAUUGUGUUCAGUUCUAUAAAGCAGAUCUCCAGGAGGACAUAAAGAGGUAGUGAUAGUAUGUUAUAGAUCCCUGGUAAGAUCUCACCUAGAGUAUUGUAUUCCGUUCUAUAGAGCAGAUCCCAGGAGGACAUAGAGAGGUAGUGAUUGAAGUUUAUAGAUCCCUGGUAAGAUCCAGUGGCGGAUCCAGAGACUGAUCUCGGGGGGUGCACUUUUAUAUAAUUUAAAGAAAUAAUCCAUGCACAAUAAUCACUACAGCUUUGUGUAGUGGUUAUGGUGCCAGCAGCGCCGGGACCCCCUCCCAGAGUAAGUAGUCAAACCGUUUAAGAACAGUUUAACAACUUACCUGGGAUCUGCUGGGAUAUGGGGCUGUAGUAGGGCAUAGGAGCAGUGGUGUAAUGUGAGGGGUGCAGUGUGUGUGUAUGUGGGGGAGGUGUAGUGUGUGAAUGUGUAGGGUGCAAUGUGUGUAUGGGGGCUGUAAAUGUGUGUGUGGGGCAAUGUGUGUGUGUGUGUGGCAGUAUGUGUAUGGGUGGGCAGUGUAUAUGUGUGUGUGGGGGCAGUGUGUGUAUGCGGGACUGUAUGUGUGUGUAUGUGUGGGGGGGCAGUGUGUGUAUGGGGGACUGUAUAUGUGUGUGGCAAUGUGUGUGUGAGGGGCAGUGUGUGUAUGGGUGGGCAGUGUAUAUGUGUGUGGGGCAGUGUGUUUGUAUGUGGGCAGUGUGUGUAUGGGGCAGUGUAUGUGUGUGUAUGGGGGCAUGUGUAUGUGUGUAUGGGGGGUGUGUGUAGUGAGGGGCAGUGUGUGUAUGGGGCAGUGUGUUUAUGGGGGCUGUGUAUGUGUGUGGGGGGCAAUGUGUGUGUGUGGGGCAGUAUGUGUAUGGAUGGGCAGUGUAUACGUGUGUGUGGGGGCAGUGUGUGUAUGGGGGGACUGUAUGUGUGUGUGUGGGGCAGUGUGUGUGGGGGACUGUAUGUGUGUGUGGCUAUGUGUGUGUGAGGGGCAGUGUGUGUAUGGGUGGGCAGUGUAUAUUUGUGGGGGCAGUGUGUUUGUAUGUGUAAAGGUGUGUGUAUGGGGGCAGUGUAUGUGUGUAUGGCUGGGGUCAGUGUAUGUGUGUGUGGGGGCAGUGUAUAUGUGUGUGUGGUGGUGGUGUGUCAAUGGGGACUGUAUGUGUGUGUGGGGGAGGUGUGUGGGGCAGUGUGUGUAUGGGGACUGUAUGUGUGUGUGGCAAAUGUGUGUAUGGGGCAGUGUGUGUGUGUAAAGGCAGUGUGUGUAUGGGGCAGUGUAUGUGUGUAUGGGGGCAGUGUGUGUGUGUGUGGGGGGUGUGUGUAUGGGGGGGCAGUGUAUUGCAGUGUAUGUGUGUGGGGGGGCAGUGUAUGUGUGGGGGCAGUGUAUGUGGGGGCAAUGUGUGUGUAUGGGGGGCAAUGUGUGAAUGUGUGGUGAGGAGGGUAGGGGGGCUUUUUGAUAAAAAUAAAUAAAGAAUUUAUAAAAUUUAAUACAUCUAUGUCCCCCCUCCCUUCUUACCUUUACUGGGAGGAGGGGGGACAUUUCUCCAUCCUUGGUUGUCCGGUGGGGAUUACCUGGUGGUCACAGUGGUAGGAGUGAACUCUAUCCCGUAGCUCCAGGGCUAGAGUUCACUCUCGCGAGAUUUGGAGCGUUGCCGUGGUAACCUCGGCAACACUCCGUGCUUGCGAGAGUAGGACCCGGAGGUGCUGCAGGCUGAGCUCCAGGGUCCUCUCUCCCUCCCCUGCUGGCUGCCAGCAUAGUGCCGGCGAACAGGGGAGAGAGAUUUCUGAUCUCCCUCCCCAGUCCGCAGGCACGUUGCAGGGCUGGCAACAGGGUAAGCCGGAUUCGUCAGUGGUAAGCUCUCACCUAGAGUAUUGUGUUCAGUUCUAUAGAGCAGAUCCCAGAAGGACAUAGAGAGGUAGUGAUAGAACUUUAUAGAUCCCCAGUAAGAUCUCACCUAGAGUAUUGUGUUCAGUUCUAUAGAGCAGAUCCCAGGAGGAUAUAGAGAGGAAGUGAUAGUACUUUAUAGAUCCCUGGCAAGAUCUCACCUAGAGUAGUUGGUUCAGUUCUAUAGAGAAGAUCCCAGGAGAACAUAGAAUCAUAACAUGUUUUAGAUUGCUGCUUUAGAAUUUGCUCAUAUUACAUAAGUAUGUUAAUAUAUGAAACUCACAUUGUUUGUUCUUUUUAAGACCUAUUCCGGCCUGUUCUGUGUCACAGUAAAUCCCUACAAGUGGCUGCCCGUGUACAACCAAGAAGUGGUCAAUGCUUACAGAGGCAAAAAGCGUCAGGAGGCCCCACCACACAUCUUCUCCAUCUCUGAUAACGCCUAUCAGUUCAUGUUAACUGGUAAGUAUCAAAGCAUGUCUGAGAAACACACAGGAUAAUUCAUCAUACUAUAUGGAAUGUUAAAAAAUCUCAUGUAUCUACUACACAUUUUCAGAGUAAUACAAUUCUCAAAAGAAUGUGUUUCAUUUGUAUUUAUGUUGUUCACUCUGCAUUGUAUGUUUAGAAGAGUUUUAAUCCACUGUUUUGGCAGAAGCGCCUCUAGUGGAUGCCAGUAGGACAGCCACUUGAGGUUAAUACUGUAAUAAAAACUGAUUUUCAACUGCACGGCUAAAAACGGUGGGACACAGGACCCAGACCACUUCAAUGAGAUGAUGGGUGCCUAUAGAGUUCCUUUGUAAGAUGCUGUACCAAUAAUUGCACAUUCGUAUAAUACCUCAGAUAAUGUAACAUAAGUUUUCGUUGCCUGCAAUGUACUGUCAGUGCUGUGUUAAAAUACUGAUUGUAAGAUCAGGAGGGGAUGACUUAUUUUGCAAAAAAAUAAAUGUAUAUUCCGUUGCAUGUUUUAUGAUAAGAUCAUUUUAACAAUAUAAUUCUCUAUUUCCACAGAUCGUGAGAAUCAGUCUAUUCUGAUCACGUAUGUAUAAUCCUAAAUUCUUGUCGUCUAUGUGGCUAUGUGUGCAUGACUUUGCAAGAGUUAACUCAUUUGCAAAUAAAAUAAAAUAUAAUGAAUUAAAAACAAAAAUAGCAAUGACCCGAAUCAGUCCUUUCCCCAGUGACUCUCCGGUAAGUGCCAUGAUCUUGCCAACUAUGAGAGCCGGCUGACUUUUGCUGCCUCAUUGAGGGACAGACUGAUGCCUUAUCAUUAAGUCUAUACAGAUCUUGCAGACUCUCUCCUGUCUUAUUCUGCUGUGACCUUUAUGAUUUAAGCUUGGAGCGCUGGACUAACUAUCUGCAUCACAUCAGAGGUCUUUGCAUGAGUAAAACAGCUCUCUUUAACAAAAGAAAAUGUUUAACUUUCAAAAUCUAGCAACCGUACCCACACAGGGUUGUCAAACAUGCGGCCCCCCAGAUGUUGCUGAACUACAACUCCCAUGAUUCUUUCAAUGAAACAGAUAGCCAGGGAAUCAUGGGAGUUGUAGUUCAGCAACAUCUGGGGGGCCGCAUGUUUGACACCUAAUAUGAGGACUCUCCUCUGUUUAUACUUGCGGUUAGACAUGUUUGCAUAGCCUUUUUAUUUAGCAUGUUAAUAAUAUACCAUAAAAAAAGCACAAUGUUCUGCUUUAUAAUGUAACUACUAGCCUACGGUAAUCUUACUAAACCUAACCUUAAGCGUUUGACAAAACUUCUACUAACACAAAAAUUGUGCAUAUUUAACAAUGCCACUUCACUGUAUCAUCCUUUACCAAAUAUUGCCUGCAUAUGCUGUUGUGGUAAAAAAAAUAGCACAACCAAUAGCUAACUUUUAUUUUUCCAUUAGGUUGUGCUAAAAUUUAGGAAGGGACAGUUCCUCUUUAAAUUCUGGUAAACUUAUUGUGCCAUGAAAAUGACACUAUAAAACUGUGCUUUAUUUUUUUGUAAUUUACAAAAAGGGCACUGUUUUGUUGAUUAUUGUAUAAUGGACUUCUGUGUGCAGACUGUUUGGUCAAACUAUGUUUCAAGCAGUUUGACAAAAGACUGAGGAAUCUUUAUUGGCCAAAGGCCACCCCUGUAGCCUAGACUGUCAUAGGGAAAUGUCCCCUUCUUCAUAAAAUAUAUGACAGACACGCAGGAUUUGGCCUUAAAUUCUUUGUUCUUUUGUCUGAACCGAAUUCACCAAGGCUCUUGUGAAAAACUUUAAAGGGACACUAUAGUCACCAAAACAAGUUUAGCUUAAUGAGGCAGUUUUGGUGUAUAGAUAAUGCUCCUGCAGUCUCACUCCACAAUUCUCUGCCAUUUAGGAGUUAAAUCACUUUUGUUUCUGUUUAUGCAUCCCCAGCCACACCUCUCCUGGUUGUCACUCACACAGCUUGCAUGGAAAGAAAUGGUUUCACUUUCAAUCAGAUGUUAACUUACUUUAAAAUGUUUUAUCUUCUGCUCUGUAAAUUUAACUUUUAAUUACAUUCAGGAGGCUCUUGCAAGGCCUAGGAGGCAAUACCAGAGCAGGAGAUAAGAAAUUUUAAAUUAAAGGGACACUAUAGUCACCAGAACAACUAUAGCUUAUUGCAUUUGUUCUGGUGAGUAGAAGCAUACCCUUCAGGCUUUUUGCUUCAGAGAAAAUGCAGUGUUUACAUUACACCCUAGUGAUAACUUCACUGGCCACUCCUCAGAUGGCUGUUAGAGAUCCUUCCUGGGUCAUGGCUGCCUAAAAUGCAUCCAAACAUUCAGUGUCUCAUUCCUCUGCAUGCAGACACUGAACUUUGCUCAUAGAGAUUCAUUGAUCAAUUCAUCUCUAUGUGGAGAUGCUGAUUGGCCAGGGCUGUGUUUGACUUGUGCAGGCUCUGCCCUGAUCUGCCUCCUUCACAGUAUCAGCCAAUCCUAUGGGGAAGCAUUGUGAUUGGCUCAGAACAACAAUUCUGGUGAUGUCAGCAGACAGCUUGCUAUUCUGAGGCAGACAGGGGCAAAACCAGCAGCUUCAGGCUUGAAUACAAGAAAGAUUUUACUAUAUUUAGAGAGGCAAGAGAGGGUCUGGGGGGCUAGAUGGUGGUUUUAACAGUAUGGCAUCAGAAAUAUAUGUUUGUGUUCCUGAUCCUAUAGUGCUCCUUUAAUCAGUAUUUUCAAUACAGGAAGUGUAAACAUUAGAUGACUCUUUACAGGAAGUGCUUGGGAAGACUGUGCAAGUCACAUGCAGAGUGUGACUGGGGCGGUAUAAACAAAGGGAUUUAACUCCAGGGGCAUGAAGUUUUUCUGUUGACUAUAGUGUCCCUAUAAUCUGUGAAAUAAGGUGAAAUGACCCCCCUCAUUUUCAUUUAUUGCAUGUUUGACAAUCUCUGCUUGAGUUGAUGCACUUCAUGCGAUAUAAAUGCUGGGAUUGUAUUGAUUUCUCCUGCUUUCCUAACCCCGAUCCUGUGACCUGUUUUAUUGCAGCGGAGAAUCUGGUGCCGGGAAGACUGUGAACACCAAACGUGUCAUCCAGUACUUUGCAACAAUUGCAGCUGUUGGUGACCCUAAGAAGAAGGACACAGGCAGUAAAAUGAAGGUGCGAUCUUUCAGAAAAAUGGAAAUAGUUGCUUGUGAAUGUUAGCUGAUUAUUUUAGACAACGUUGCAAAAUAUAGAAUUUUUUUCUGUUCCCAUUUAUUCUAUUCCACUAAUGACAAUCUAAUUCACACUCUGAGAAAAGGGCCUGUAAUUACUGAUGUCCUGUUAUGAAGCAAUCAACAUUAGUUAACCCAUAUUAUUCUUUGAGAUGUAAUUUCACUAUUCUGUUUUUUUUUUAUUAUUAAUUUUUUUUCUGUUCUUUUCCUAAUAGGGCACUUUGGAAGAUCAAAUCAUUCAGGCUAACCCUCUGCUGGAAGCCUUUGGCAAUGCCAAAACCGUGAGGAAUGACAACUCAUCCCGUUUCGUAAGUUAUGCUCCCAACAUUAGUUUUAAAAAGCUAGAUGUGCUACACAUGUUAAAAGAAAUAAUGAGCGAUUGGUACAGCAAUCACUAAGUUCCUAAAUACCUGAUCUCUGUGUGCAUGGCCUGCUAACGCUGCACAGGACAUAUAUGGUUCUAGCACUUGCCGGCUGCUGGAGUCAUGAAGUGUGAUAUCAUGUAUCCUAGUAAACUUCCAUCAGUACAUCCAGCCCAGCAUGACAGGGCUUUCUCAAAGCCCUGUGCAAGCAGACUCCAUUUGCCAUGACUCCGUUGCCGCUCUUGGCAAGAGUUUGUCAUGUCUUGAGUUCUGUCUCAUCUCAACCUGCGGUCACUUGUAAACACUUCCAUAGACACCAUACAAACUUUUCGCAGUCCAGCAACGUAGUCUGCCCAAAAUACAAAAUUUUCCCUGAAAACGUCCCAGAGGGCCAGUACAGGCCUGGAGAAAACUGAGAGCAUAGGCCACCAGCCAGAACAUAAACCCACACAGUACCAGACUAUCAAAGACUCUGCACUACUCUGCCAACUGAUACCCCAACACUCCUCUCAUUUAACACUAGAGAGAAUAUUUACAGGGUUAUUCAUUAAAGGGAGAAUUCAAAGUAAAUUUAGAAUUUAAGGCCAAAGUUGCCAAAAUUUAAAAAAAUAGUUAACUUACAUAUUUUUUUGUAGAAACGCGUUUCCUUAUUACGUUGUCAAUCUGCGCAAAUUAAAAUGAGUCUGUUAUCAUUAAUGGAUGGGAAUUUUAAAGGUUUUAAAAGAUUACAGUAACCACCGAUUGGCAUUUAUCCAGCUAAUGUCCAGCUGUAGAAGAUGAGAGGAUGAUUGUAUCUUGUUUUUACGCGGCAGGGUAAAUUUAUUCGAAUCCACUUUGGUACCACUGGAAAGUUGGCUUCAGCAGAUAUUGAAACAUGUGAGUAGAUCCUGAUGAUUUUUCUACAAAAGCAGAGUUAGGCACCAUUUUCUCGUGUUAUCAUUAGCAACUUUGUUUGAUUAUAUAUAAUUUACUUCCAUACAUUAGAAAGGGGAUCUCACCUUUUUGAGCUUGCAUAGUUUACUAACCGUAAAGACAAAAAGCUACCGAAAAAUGUUCAGUCAUAUAAAUAUGGACAAAUCAUGUAACCUGAUGGCAAAUAAAACGUAUAUUUCUAGGUAAAUCUUGUACUCAAAAACUUCCCCAAUUUUAGUUGGUGCUAAGGUAAUUUUAUACGUCUUCCAGUCCGAGUUACAAAUAUUUCACGAUGGUCCUCCCUGCUUAAUUCUCUACACGAGAUUCUCCGAUAAUUUAUGAUUCCUCUUUUGGCAUUAAUAAUUUGCACACCGUGACCAAAUGCCUUAUCCAUAAAUGAUGUGUUUUUAGCAGCCUACAUCAUUUAGAAUACAGAGAGGGGCAAUGGCUUUAUGAAUUGCCUUUAACCCCUUCAGGACACAUUACAUGUGUGACAUGUCAUGAUUCCCUUUUAUUCCAGAAGUUUAGUCCUUAAGGGGUUAAAAUAAGUGUUCAGAACUAUGUGGAUAGAUAGCGGGUCAUAAUAAGUAAAGGGUGGGAGGUUCCACACAUAAAACACUUUUUGAGGGCCUUAUCACUGCUUAGUUAGCUCACACAUGCAUCUGGUUAGCCACAUACAUUCUACCAACUUUUGAUCUAAUUCCACCAUCUUCAACUGUUUCUGUAUAUAAUUAUGAAUACAGACUUAUUCCUCUAAUUGUAGAUCUCCUGGAAAAAUCCAGAGUAACCUUCCAGCUUGCGGCAGAGAGAAGCUAUCACAUCUUCUAUCAGAUUAUCUCCAAUAAAAAGCCAGAACUCAUUGGUAUGUACUAAAGAGUGCUGUUGGAAUCCAUUCUUUAUGGGGGCUCAUAUAUACUCUUAAAAUAGGGAAUAUAGUGAAAUCUGCAUUUUUCUUCGUUAUUUUGCCUCUUUAUAUGAUAUGUCCAAUGUACAUGUAUAACAUUGAUAUUUUAGGUAAAUAAGGUUUAAUCACUAACUCGUGCCAUAUGACGAGUAGCCAACAGAGUUGUAACAUUUAGGGCAAUAUGGCAGAGAUUUACUUUUUAACUGCUAUUUUCUCUUAGAAUUGAAGUAAAUGUAACUUUUUAGUAAAUAAACAUUGAGAGGUAUCAAGCAAAUAUUUUUUUCAUACAUUGCCUGGGUAUUUUAUCUAAAACCACCUCAGGCAUAGUCCAGAUUAGAGUUGGCUGACAAGAAUGAUGAUUUGGUUGAGUCGACAAACAAUCUAUCCAUCUCCACCUUCUUAAACAAAAUAAUGGUCUCCUGUGGCUGGCUGAACAUCAUGAAAGUGUUAAUUCCUCGAGAAGGAAUCGUGUGGCACACCCAGACCAUACAUUUCCAAACUAGCGAUGCUGUGGUAAAGGCUUAAUGAAGUACCCCUCAAACUCUUCUGGCCCUGGGACCUGCUCAACUUUUUGAAGUUGUUCUGGUACUGCCGGGAAUUACAGAUUCUAAGAUGGCGGCCCCGGAAAUGUAUAUUUUCUGCCUUUUCAUGGGCGGGUGUGUGAAAUCAUGUUUAUGCCUAGGGGAUCUGGUGACUGUGCGAGAGUUAAUAAUGAUGAUCAGUAACGCACCACUUCAGGAAGAAAGUGAAGAGAAAAAAAAACCGUCAACUUUUGUCAACCUUCAAGUUAUAGGGAAAAGUAGUCCCUAAUAAUAAAAUAUGCAUAAUUAAAAAAUAAAUAUAUAAUAAAUCUGCUUUAAAGAAACACUAUAGUGUUAGGAAUACAAAGUUGUAUUCCUAACACUAUAGUGCCCCUCCCUUAUUCCACUCUCCCCCCAGCGAAUAAAGUGUUAAAUAACCUUUUUAAAACACGUAUUCCAGUGACAAUGCCCCGUGGUGUUGGGUCAGGCUCCUCCCACGUCAGCCGAUGGGGGAACAAUGCUUUUUUACUAUGGGUUUUUUCAACACGAUAGACAUGCACUCCAUGAAACUACACAGUGAAACUCCGUUAAACUGCAGGAAGUGCCUCUAGUGGCUCUCUGAUUGACAGCCACUAAAGGCGGUCUUAACACUGCAAUCUAAACAUUGCAGUUUCUCUAAAAUUCCAAUGUUUUACAUUGCAAGAUUAAGGAGGGCAGGGACACUUCAAUGAGAUGAUGUGGUCUGGGUGCCUACAGUAUCCCGUUAAGGUAACUGCACACACAAAAAUGUACAAUUUUUGAAAUUUAAUAGGCUACAUAAAAUCAUUUGUCUUAAACAAAACGUCUGCAGCUUUUAGUCACACCAUAUGGCCAUUCCGUGUCAAAGCUGCCUCAGCAGAUGAAGAACAUCAGGGGAAGGGAUUAACACUGAUUAUUUCUUUAUCAAAUCACUAAUAGUGGAAAAUGUACAAAGGAAUCAUACAUUUCAGAUCAAACCAGCUGGACAUAAGCAUUGGAGGACAAGUGUUCGCGUGCAUCCAAUGUUACUCAUGAGAAAGCAUUAAAUCCAGUGAUUUCCUGUGAGCUUCCAUGUCAUGUCACCGAGUUCUACGCAGUCGGUGCAGUGGGAGCGCCUCUAGUGGCUAGAGUGGUGUUCAACUCUGCAAUGUAAACAUUGCAGUUUCAAAAUAAAACAAAAAACUGUAAUGUUUUACUUUGCAGGGGUAAAAUGGCAGGACAACUGCAGCCAGACCACUUAAUUUAAAUGAGGUGGUCUGGAUUUCUUUAGCGGCCCUUUUUAAAUAAUUUUAAUUCUUAAAUGAACACUCCAAGCACCAUGUAAGUGCCCUGGCAUCCUUCCCCCAUUGUAAGUAGUCAAAAUGUUUGCAAACACUUUGAAAACUUCCUAGGGGUCAGCCGGGCACUGAUCACGUCCUCCAGGAUAGUCAGAAGCUCACUAAGUUGAGCUAAGCUUGGGGGUCAGCUCACUUAGCUCACUGAUUGAGCGUGAUCAGCUGAUGCUCUCAACCAAUAAGUUGGGGUUUAGCUUAGAAGAGGUAACGGAAGCUCCUAGCAGGAGCCUCUAACUCAUCAUGGUGGAAGUGACGUGCACACUGUGCACCCCAGGUAAGAAGUCAAAUCAUAGAAAAAUGGUUUAAUUACUUAGUUUGGCAGGUGCCAGGGCACUCCUGGCACCUUAUGACUGCAGUGCACAGUAGUGGUUGAAGUGCUUGGAGUGUUCCUUUAACACAUUUUUGCAAGUGCCUCACUUAUAGACGUAUUAUUAUUUACCUAGUCUCUUACUGAUAUUUAAACGGUAACUAACAAAGAGUCAUAGAGGGCUAUUCACAAAAGAGAGAAUUAAAAGUGAAGUCCAAAUUUAAGACCAGAAUAGCUGACCUCAACGCAUUUCACCUUGAAUUCUCACUUGAGUGAAUAACUCUGAUAAUGUGACCUCUCUUUUCCCUAGAAACAUUGUUAAUUACAACAAAUCCAUAUGACUUCCCAUAUAUGAGCCAGGGGGAGAUCUCAGUGGCCAGCAUUGACGACACAGAGGAAUUAAUGGCCACAGAUGUAAGUUCUCUAGUUACAAUGUUAUAGUUUGUUACAAAUACACCACUAUGGUUUAUCUCAUACUCUUCUGUCUUUUUGUUAAAUGUAGAGUGCCAUAGAUAUUCUGGGCUUCACCUCAGAAGAAAAAAUUGGUAUUUACAAGUUAACAGGUUCGGUAAUGCACUACGGCGUAAUGAAGUUCAAACAGAAGCCCCGUGAGGAGCAGGCAGAACCUGAUGGUACUGAAGGUAAGAACAGAAGGGAAUAUUUUGUCGUCUUAAUGGGGUUAACAAGGACUGACAGCCAUAACUUAUAUAUAACAAAGGCAUUUAGUGGUAAGCUUGGGUUAGAAUGAUCAUACACUUAAGACAAAUGUUAUUCAGGUUAGCACACUUAGAUUAUCUUGUUUUACAGUGGCAGAUAAAACCGCCUAUCUGAUGGGACUCAACUCAGCAGAAUUGCUAAAAGCGCUCUGCUACCCUCGAGUCAAAGUCGGAAAUGAAUACGUCACCAAAAGUCAGACCGUUGAGCAGGUGAGCAGCCUUGCAAAAAUCUUUUUUAUUGAUGAUGUCACCAGGUUUAUACAAAAUAUUAAACGUUGAGCUACUCUCUUAUAGGUGCACCAAAAUGUAAAUGCCCUGGCCAAGUCCGUGUAUGAGAAAUUAUUCUUGUGGAUGGUAACCCGGAUUAACCAACAGCUGGAUACCAAACUUCCCAGACAGCAUUUCAUCGGGGUGCUGGAUAUUGCUGGGUUUGAAAUCUUUGAGGUUAGCAUUGCUGAAUAUUGCCUGAAUUGUGUUUUUAGUUAUUUUCUUUUGCUAAUGCCUCCCCGAACAUCUCCCACCUUCCGAAGACAGUUGAAGCAUCAUAUGAGCAGCAGAUUCCUCUUCAUCCUUUUCUUCUCCGUAUUUAUUCUGGCUUUGGCCCCAGAAUACAAAGUUUAUUUGGUUGUUUUUGUUUUGAUGCCACUAACAUGAGAUGUUUUUUUUCCCCCCCUUAAUUUUUCUCAAAAUUCUGGAAUAACAAAAAUACAUAAAACACAUCCACAUGUUUUUGGAACAAUAGUAAGGGCCAUCAUCCAUAACAAGCAUACUGAAUAAAUCUUCUACUUCUAGUCUGAAACUUGAUCCUCAAUGGCUGUCAACCCAGUUACUAUUUUAUCACUAAACCAUAGGCAAUUUAAAAUAGCUAAUUAUUUGGUUGAACAUUAUCAUUUAUGUUUGUAAUUGAUGUUUAUAACUACAUCUGUAUGUUUUGACACAUUUUUGCGGUCUGUAUUGUGUGUUCAGUCAGUAACCUAAAAGAAUAAUUGAACACGUUUUUAUCUUGUUAUAGAAGUGGCCUCUAAGAUGUUGCAAUAUUCAAUAAAUAUUCUCCUUUUAUUAAAAAAAAUAAAUGCAGAUUUACACCCUGAUGUGCUGUGUACAACUUUCCAAUGAGCAAUGUUUGUUAUCCUGUUAUCCCGAUGUAUAUGUUAUUCUGUUAUCCUGGUAUCUAGAAUACUAGAUUCCAAUCUAUGAUACCCUAGAGUGGCCAUUGAUGUUCCUGCUGCAAUACUUUUAUUUCAUCAUAUUAUCAGACAGACAGACGUUGGCAGUGCCUGCCCUGGAGUGUACAGCGAUAGUAUUUCCGUAUGUGUUUGCCAAAUAAACACUGUGAUUGUUUUGCUGUGUUCAGUUGAACAGUUUGGAGCAGCUGUGCAUCAACUUCACCAACGAGAAACUGCAACAGUUCUUCAAUCACCACAUGUUCGUCUUGGAACAAGAGGAAUACAAGAAGGAGGGGAUUGAGUGGGACUUCAUUGACUUUGGCAUGGACUUGGCGGCCUGCAUUGAGCUUAUUGAGAAGGUACGUUCUACAAAUAUUAUUACCCCUUUGUACCACUGCUAUGGUCCAAUUCUCUUUGAUGUAAAGUAAUUUUAUUCUACAUUCUACUAUGUUUGCAUUAGGUUGUAAUAAUGUACAUAGGUUGUAAACGUUUUCAUUUUCUCCAAUAUCUAGUGGAUGUUUGUAUAAUUGGCCAUUAGUUGAAAGAUCACAUAUAAAAAUAUAUUUUAUCUUCAGUAUUUAGAGAGACAGCAGGGGCAUGAUCUAUCCAUCAAAACGGCUUCAUUAAGCUAAAGUUGUUUGGGUGACUAUAGUGCCCCUUUAAGUCUAUACAGAACUUGAAUGACCUUUGUAUUAAAAACAUGAACCUGUUAUGGUGUUUCCUGUUAUUUUUAGCCAAUGGGUAUUUUCUCCAUCCUUGAAGAGGAGUGCAUGUUUCCCAAGGCAACAGACUCUUCGUUCAAGAACAAGCUGUAUGACCAGCAUCUCGGCAAGUCCAACAACUUCCAGAAACCAAAACCAGCCAAAGGCAAAGCUGAGGCUCACUUCUCUCUCGUCCAUUAUGCCGGGACGGUGGAUUACAAUAUUAAAGGUUGGCUGGAGAAGAACAAGGACCCACUGAAUGAAACUGUGGUGGGACUCUAUCAAAAGUCAUCCAUGAAACUUUUGGCAAACCUUUACGUUGCGUACUCUGGUACAGAUGCAGGUAGGUAAUGGCUGGCUGACUUGUUGACUCUUAAUUUAAGUUGAUCACAAUUAAGAAGUAUAGAUUCUUGAUCCACAUACUAUCUUGUGAGGUUACCCUUGGACCUUGGCUUAAGUAAAGUACAUGAACAAAAUAUCUUGUAGUUUCACCAUUUGAUCCCUGCAUAACCUGAGAUUCAGUACACAUUUUAUAUAUUAAUUUGUUGUAUUCUCUAUUUCAUCCCUGAUUUUCUGUCCCUUAUCCAAUAAAUGUUUGUGCUUAUUUGGAUUUGCUUGGAUUGGGGAGUUUAUGUGCAACACAGACAUAGAACAGAUCGCAGAAUGGGAUCACUGGACACUCUUUUCAUGUGUUUUAGGAGAAGGAGGCACCAAGAAGGCUGCUAAGAAGAAAGGUUCUUCCUUUCAGACGGUGUCCGCUCUUUUCAGGGUAAGUGACUUAUGUGGGUGUUUUUGGUAUUUACAUGUUCCUGCACAUGUUUCAUGUUACCUGCCUACAGUGAUGAUUUUUUCAGAUUUUUACCAUAAAAAAUUCAGAAUCUCAACUCCCACUGAUCCUUAGUAUCACGCAUAAAAAUAAUAUUAUGCAAUGAAUUAUUCAAAUUUAAUUAUUAAAUACAGUGGGUUUGUGGGUAAUUAACACAGCGUGCAUAGCUUCAAUUGCAGCUGGGGAUUCUGGGUAAUAACCUGCCUUACCCCAUAAUCACACAGCAUGCAGGGGUUCCACUGUAGCCAGAGAUUCUUGGUCUUACCUUCUGCCCUUAUGAUCAUUUAAUACAUAUAUAAUAUUGUCUCUGAAGCAUUCUAUGUUUCUAUGUAUAAUAAUUACCUGUUGAAUGCUUACCCUGCAGGAAAACCUGAACAAGCUCAUGUCCAACCUGAGGACCACUCAUCCCCAUUUUGUGAGGUGCCUAAUUCCUAAUGAAACAAAAACACCAGGUAAUUGGUCAGACAGGUGGGCAAGAUAGUCCCUUUUAAAUGGAAAAUGAAAAGUAUUAAAGAGGUUGGCUUUUCCAGUAGUCUCGCUGUAUGGGAAUUAUUCUCUGUUGAGUUAGAUCAUAUGCAUACACGUAUGUAAUGAUGUUAAAGGCUUGGGGGGAGGAGGGAGGCAACAAUUUUAAAAAAAAAUUUAUUUCAAGGGACACUAUAGGCACCAGAAAAACUUUAGCUUUUGUUGUACAAAUCAUGUCCCUGCAGUCUCACUGCUCAGUUCUCUGUCAUUUAGGAGUUACAUCACUUUGUGUAUACAGCUUUAGUCACACCUCUCUGCAUGUGACUUGCACAGCCAUCCUAAACACUUCCUGUAAAUUGAGAUCUAAAGUUUAAACUUCCUUUUUUGAAAAUUCUGUUUAGUUUAGAAUUUCUUAUAUCCUGUUCUGUUAGUAGCUUCUAGACCAUAGGCCUUCUCUCUUAUUAAAAUUCAAUUUACAGUGCAGGAGGUAAAAACUUAUAAAGUAAGUUAAGAUAUGAUAGAAAAAAAAAUAAUGCAGGUUGUGGAAGUCACAGCCAGGGAAGGUGUGGCUAGGGCUGCAUAAAGAGAAACAAUAGUGCUUUAACUCCUAAAUGACAGAGAACUGAGCGGUGAAACUGCAGGCACAUGAUCUAUACACUCAGACUGCUUCAUUAAGCUAAAGUUGUUUUGCUGCCUAUAGUGUCCCUUUAAAGUUAAUACAUUCUUGUACUUUUUCUCAUAGAAAAUUGAGAUUAAUUUACAUGUCAUAUCUUUGUCCUGCAGGGGAAAUGGAUCAUCACCUUGUCUUGCACCAGUUGAGAUGUAACGGGGUACUCGAGGGCAUUAGAAUAUGCCGCAAGGGUUUUCCCAGCAGAAUUGCAUAUGCAGACUUUAAACAACGGUAAAUCCUUAUUUUGAGAAACCUAUUCUAAUAUAAAACUGUUAAAGAAUGGAUAAAUGGUAGUUAGGAAAUAAGGUGAGAUGGGAGAGAGAAUGUCCUGAGCUUUAUUUAAAUCAAACCAUACAGGACCUUAUUGGUUUGAAUUAUGUUUCAGUUUGGAGUAAGCCAUAGAAUAAAUUUACCAUGUUUGAUGAGAUAUGACUACAGCCAGCUUAUUUUAUAGGGGGCAAAUAGGCCCUGCCUUUGUGGAGGCAUAAGUUAAGUAUUAAAAUGCUUCCUUCUGAGAUGGGAGAAGUGAGCAAACUCUGGUUUGGAACUCAAGUAGGGAGUAACUAAAGGACAAGAUGUCACAGUUUUUCUUCAUUCUCACACUUGUUCUGGGGGAACAAAAACAACCUUCUUCUUUGUAUUUUCUCUUUUAAUAGAUAUCGAAUUCUGAAUGCAAGUGCUAUUCCAGAGGGACACUUUAUUGACAGCAAAAAAGCCUCAGAGAAACUCUUGGGUUCAAUUGAUAUUGAUCACACUCAGUAUAAAUUUGGGCACACAAAGGUAAAGCAUGACAUUAAUCUAAAUAUAGAACAGAGAUGUGAGACUACUAAAAAUUACAUCUGGUGAUGGGUGGGGAAUCCUGGAUCUAUUUUUUUAUUUUGGCUUAGGGUUGCGUGAGGCGCAACACUUAAAGUUAUGGAGUUUGUGUAGCAAUGGCAGAUUCCCGUGUCAUAUAUUUCAUGCUUCUCCCUGGCUUCAAAACAUAUUUUUAUUACAUUAAAUGUUCUUAUUAAUCCUGAAUGGUAAAAUCUAUUUGUUAGAGAGAGAGUGGUUAAGGAAGCCAGGUGCAGUAUCUGGUAAUUAGAGAUUCCAUUCACAACAAGGUCAGCUCUGUCCUUUACCCUUCCGAGGUUAAUGAAUCGAGGUCCACUGAGCUGGGUAAUAAUUCCUAAACCCCAGGAUGUAUUUGAAAACUGUAAAGAACUAAGUGUACCUUCCCUGUUUAAAUACUUUGAUAGCAUUGUAUGUCUUCUCAUAAUUGGCAUCCUGUGUUCUAAAUAUUUUAGGUGUUCUUCAAAGCUGGGUUGCUGGGAACUUUGGAAGAAAUGCGUGAUGAUCGCCUAGCCCAUCUGAUUACUCGCACGCAGGCCUUAAGUAGAGGAUACCUGAUGAGGGUGGAAUUCAAAAAGAUGAUGGACAGAAGGUAAACUUAUUCAGCAAUAAUUCAUUAUUUCAUAUGUUUACUUAGUCAGUCUUAGAGGACAGUUAAUAUCUUUCUUUUAAUGUUGAUUUUAGGGAAGCGAUAUUCAGUAUUCAGUAUAAUAUCCGAGCUUUCAUGAAUGUUAAACACUGGCCUUGGAUGAAAUUGUACUUCAAGAUUAAGCCCCUACUCCGGAGCGCAGAAACUGAGAAAGAGAUGGCGGUAAUGAAAGAGGAGUUUGCCAAAACUAAGGAGAAUUUGGCAAAGUCUGAGGCACAAAGGAAAGAGCUGGAGGAGAAGAUGGUAAAACUACUUCAAGAGAAGAAUGACCUACAACUGCAUGUUCAGUCUGUAAGUAUCAUUUGGUUCAUGGACCUUUUUCUGGGUCACAGGGCUGUGCUUCCUCUGAUGUCAAAGUGCAAUACUUACUGCCAUAGGCUAAAAUUUUACUUGUCUAACUUGGAAGAUUGUGUUCACAUCUGUAAUGUGUAUAUAUAUAUAUAUAUAUAUUUAUAUAUAUAUAUAUAUAUAUAUAUAUAUAUAUAAACUAAGCUCUAGCCCAGCAAUUUGACUGAACAAACCAGUAAUAAAAAUUAUUAAAUACAUAAAAGAACUAGAAAAGACAUAAAUGCAUGUAUAAUCUGUAGCUUUAAGACUGUAAUGCAAUAUCAAUUCUUGAUGGUGGAACUUGAGACUCCCCCGGGGUGGUCAGGGGGUUCUGUAUGCUGAGUCAAGUCAGCUCUCUCGUCGGAACUCCUCGGAUUUUCAGAUUGUACCUCCGCGUCUGAUCUUCCAAUGUGUCAAACCUCUCGGUGGUGUUGAUGUGUUGUUGCUGGAGAUUUGCGAACGUCUACUCAACUGAGGUGAGUCUUGAGUCUUAUGUGCUGUUAGAAGCCUCUAGGAGGGGGAUCUGUGUGGUGGUUUCUUUAAUGGCGUCCUUAAAGUAGGCCAUGUCAGUUGCGAUGUUCUGUCUGAGUUCUGACAGCUUGCGUUUCAGCAAGUCCGCUGUGACCAGUUCCCUGGAUGUCUGUGAUUUGACUUUAUGUCUGGGUAGUAGACCAAGAGAUGCCCCUUUACCAGAGUCAAUGGAGGUAUCCUCCUAGGAGUAAGAGGAACCCUCGUCCCCCAGUGCCAUCUUUGUCCAUGCGGCUCAUUGUGAGCUCCACAAGAGAUCACCAAUAUCCCGGCUGGUAGGGCCCUUGUAAGCUUUCAGUUUGUUUUUCCAGCCCAUUAUACUUUCACAUAGCAGUAUCACGUUUUAUAGCUGUGUGAUAACCCAAUUUCCACUCUAAAAUCCAUUUGUUUGUCAAGCAGGGCACAGAGCUCAGUUGAGUAUGUCUACUCUAGUUUGCUGCAGGCUCUGCCCCCCCCCCCCCAUCUGUAAUAUUUUAACUUUAUCAUAUUUUAUUUUGAUGGCUCUACUGCCCUUUCAGCUAACUCCCAACUUGUUUGUUGUGUUUAUUAAGGCUCAGUCAUGCACCUAUAUUUCAUAUGCUUAUCCAUGAAACACAGAAAUGUCUAUCUUUUCUCCGAAGGAAUUAGAAAACUUAAAUGAUGCAGAGGAAAGAUGUGAUCAGUUAAUUAAAACCAAGAUUCAGUUGGAAGCCAAAAUCAAAGAGCUCAAUGAGAGACUGGAAGAUGAGGAAGAGUCGAAUGCUGAACUGACAGCCAAGAAACGAAAACUGGAGGAUGAGUGUUCUGAAUUGAAGAAAGAUAUUGAUGACCUUGAGUUGACGUUGGCCAAGGUUGAGAAGGAAAGACACGCCAUAGAAAACAAAGUAUGUUCUAUAGUUUAAAAUUUGAUUGAAUAUUGAAGCUGACUUUUCAUAGACCAAAUAUGUUUGGGUUUUACCAAUAAGAAGAGAAUAUAUAUAUAUUUUGGUUACCAAUAAAGUUUGGCUUCAUUAGUUUUAUGUAGUCAUUAUUUAGAAAAAGGCUAAUUACUAUUUCCUUAUAUUUUUAACAUCUAAUUUUACAAGGUUAAAAACCUCACUGAGGAAAUGGCUGGUCUAGAUGAAACCAUUGUGAAGCUGACCAAAGAAAAGAAGGCUCUCCAAGAAGCUCAUCAGCAAACCUUGGAUGAUCUCCAGGCUGAGGAAGACAAAGUCAACUCACUGACCAAACUUAAAACCAAACUAGAACAGCAAAUUGACGAUGUGAGUACCAGUACCAACCUGACAUAUGCCUUAUUUAAUAUUGUUGGAUAAGCUUUUCAAAUGAUUACAUAUUGUUGGAUAAACUGUUAAAAUGAUUUAAUAUUAUGAAAAAAUGCAUGGAUUUUUAAAAUAUAUAUUUUUCAUAUAUAAUAUAUAUAUAUUUUUUAUAUUUUAAUAAUUUGAGAAAUUAAUUUUAAAAGUUUAUCCAAUAUAAUAUUCGAUCAUUUGAACAUUUUACCCAACAAUAUUAAAUUGAGCCUAUAAUAUGGAAAACCUUUCCCUGAAUAUAUAUAGGGAUAUAUCAACUUCCUUCAAAGGUUGUCUCAGAGCUUAUUAUAUUACCUCAAAAUGUAUGUCCGUAACCAAGCACAUAUCCUACUCAGAAUAGCAGAAAUGUGAAUAAUUACAGCUUUAUUUUCUUUAAAUGGGCACCAUACCUUUAUUAUUAUUUGCAUUGAAAUGGCAUGGAAACUUUGACAAACAUGGUCUCCAAUCUCUAAUGUAGCUUCAAGGCUCUCUAGAGCAAGAGAAAAAGCUUCGCAUGGAGAAUGAACGGGCCAAGAGGAAGCUGGAAGGAGACUUGAAAAUGGCACACGACUCUAUAAUGGAUUUGGAGAAUGACAGACAGCAGAUGGACGAAAAGCUAAAAAAGUACGGGGUUUCUUGUGGUCAUUAGACUAAUCUCAAAGCAUGAAGUGCAGCGAUACAUUAACUUGAUGAUUGGACUUAUACUAGAAUGCAGAGAUUAUGAUUAUGACGUAUAGUUCAACAAUUAUAGAAAUGAUACAUAGUUCCUAUAGCAGGGUAACAUAAACCUAUUUUUUCUCCUUUUGCUUUGUCCUCAUUUAUUUUACUCUAGUGAAUUACAUAAAUGACAUUGACAUUUUUUUUUUUUUAAAUUUCACCGAGUUUAAUACCGAGAAAUUGCAAAUUAAUCGAAUUAUCGAUUAAAACAGAUACAUUGCACAUGCAAUCCAUUAAAGCAGAAAACACAGAAGUAUACAUAUCAAAUGAAAACCUCAUUUUCAACUACUAGAUUGAAGAUUAAAGUAUUAAAUUAAGGAUUAUUCCUAUCCUUUUAGUAGGACAUCACUGAGUGGUCCGUUUAAAUAUGCUAGCUCUGUAUUUUUUUUUUUAAAUUUAUAUCUCAUUAAUAGUAAUAAUUGGCCAUUCGUUAUCCGGUUGUAUUUACCUGUUCUACUUUUUGCUGACAGGAAGGAUUUCGAGAUAAGCCAGCUGUUGAGUAGAAUCGAGGACGAACAGGUUCUGUCGAAUCAAUUUCAGAAGAAAAUUAAAGAACUCCAGGUAAAAAAACAAGUAUUCAUUUUUACAGGUAUGCCACUAUAUAAGUGUUUAUUUUUAAAAGUUCGAGGUAACGGUAAACAUUUUUUUAAAACUUUAGUUUCUUUACUUAUGAAAGUUAAAAUUCAGUGGGAACUCCAUACAGAUCCGUACAUAAGUAUUUAGGGCAUUUCACAUGGCACUCAGUAGAGCAGUAUUGUCAACCUCUGAUCCUACAGAUAUUGUUGAAAUGCAACUCUCAGAAUUCUCUGACAAUAAUAAACAUUCACCCAUUGUUUGUGUGCCAGGCUCGCGUGGAAGAACUUGAAGAAGAGAUUGAGUCUGAGAAGGCAACACGAGCCAAGGCGGAGAAGCAAAGGUCUGACCUGACCAGGGAACUGGAGGAGAUUAGCGAGAGGCUGGAGGAAGCUGGAGGUGCCACAUCUACUCAGAUAGAGAUGAAUAAGAAAAGAGAAACUGAAUUUCAAAAGAUGCGCAGAGAUCUGGAGGAGGUCUCCUUGCAACAUGAAGCCACUGUCGCCACUCUCCGUAAGAAGCACUCAGACAGUGCUGCGGAGUAUGGUGAGCAAAUCGACAACCUGCAACGCGUGAAGCAGAAACUGGAGAAGGAGAAGAGUGAGAUGAGGAUGGAGAUUGAUGAUCUCAACAGCAACCUUGAAACUAUAACAAAAUCCAAGGUUUGUGGAUUAUAUGGUAGUUUAAACAAACCCGUUUUCCCCACACUGACACUUAGAACUUUCUCACCUCAACAUCUAAUGUAUCAUUUUCCAUUUAAUAUAUAGAAUUAAUGGUAUAUAGAUGGUGUGCACUAAAAAAGGUUUUGCCUUUUUUUCAGAUUAGCAGUAGUAACAGAGUGAUGGAAAAAGAAUCUAGUAGAUGCAAGUCUGUUUUCAACCCAACUUUACAUUUAAUGCUAUAGAGAACUGUAAUAUGCCUUUAAAAUGAUUGCACAUCUAAGAUUCUUUGCAGUUUCUCCUUACAACAUUUUAUAGAAAGCAUUUUGUUAUUGUUAACUUGCUUGUGUUCCUCGGGCUUCUGUACAAUAGAGAGGCUAAUGGAACACAUUAAAUACAAUACCCACUACAGCAAUCUGUAGUGGUUAUGGUGCAAAUAGUCCCACUUUUUCGUCAAAACCAUUUUGGAUUUGAUUGACAAAAAAAAACAGACCUUUCCCAUUCACCAGGUGGAUUAAUAAUGCAGGAUUUACACUUCCACAUUAAUGUCAGUUCCAUCCACUCUUGAUGGAUGUGAUAGGUUGACGGUGCAGGGCUAGAUUACCCCUAAUGCCUUCAGUAAAUCAACCCCCUUCAGGUUGGAUGGAAUUGAUACUGGUAACAUAGAAUUUGAUUUUACCAAUAUUAAUGCAGAUGGUGGGUGAGCUAUGGGUGUUAAGACACACCAUGUUUUUUGUCAAACUUCACCCAAAUAGUUUGCUCAAAAAAUAUGACAUAAUGCUCAUAAAUUCUUAGCUCAAUGGACAUUAGAGUGAGUUGUAGUGGUCAUGGUGCUUGGUGUAUCCUUUAAGUAAUCUGUGAAACACUCUAACAUUUCAUUCUUAAAAGGACACUAUAGUCACCAGAACAACUACAGCUUAUCGCAUUUGUUCUGGUGAGUAGAAUCAUUACCUUCAUUACUUUUUGCUGUAAACACUGUCUUUUCAGAGAAAAUGCAGUGUUUACAUUACAGCCUAGUGAUAACUCCACUGGCCACACCUAAGAUGACUGCUAAAGCUGCUUACUUGGGCAGUGCUGCAGAGUAAACAGCACUGCCAUUCAGUGUCUCCACCCUCUGCAUGCAGACACUGAACUCUCCUCAUAGAGAUGCAUUGAUUCAAUGUAUCUCUAUGAGAAGAUUCUGAUUGGCCAGGGUUGUGUUUGACUUGUCGAUCCUAUGUGAAAGCAUUGGGAUUGGCUCAGACCACCACUUCUUAUGAUGUCAGCAGACAGAGGCAGUUCACAGGCAGAGGCAGCAGCGUCAGACUUGAAUACAAGUAAGAUAUUACUAUAUUUAGGGGGGCAAGAACGGAUAGGGGUUAGAUGGUGGUUUUAACACUAUAGGGUCAGGAAUAUAUGUUUGUGCUAAGUUAGAUAGUCUAGUAUACAAUCAUUUGAUUUAUUAUAGAGCAUAAAAGGUAUUAAACAUAUCAGUUAAUUACUUAAGUACUUAAGAAAAGCAUAAUUAAAAAAAGUGUGUGGUUGGGGCAGGGUGUGUUUGUGAAUAGCAUGGUAUAGAACAAUAUAAUUUUAACCAAACCAAAAAGGGACAAAAUGGAAGAUAAAUGAUUUAAGAAAAAUGACAAGAUAUAUUUUUACAAAUGACUACUUUGUUUAUAAUUCACCCCCGUGUGUCUCUACAACCAGGUUAAUUUUGAGAAGCUCUGUCGUAUGAUGGAGGAUCAGCUGAGCGAAUUCAAGGCCAAGACAGAGCAAAACCAGCGUACUGUCGCUGAACUGACAUUAAGUAAAGCUCGUCUGCAGACAGAAACAGGUGAUUAAAGAAUUCAGUGUACGGGUUUACACCUGCUCACAUAUGCACAAACCCAUGUGUACACUAUCUGUGCUACUUGCUUGGCAGUGUAAUUACAGGAAACAGAGCAGGUAAUCUAUUCUAGGUCCUUGCUCCAUACAUAUUUCUAUACAUUGUACAGUUUUUCCACUUCCAAAUAUCUCAAGAAAGUUUUACAACGUAAUUCAAUAUCCAUUAUGGAAUUCCUGAUUCCAGAAAAUGUACUCAUGAGUUUUGUUGCUAUCAUCCAUACCUUCAAUGCUUACAUAUGCAUUCUGGCCAGCUCUUUUUGUUCAGCCAAUUUUGUUAAAACAGGAGCACUUCAGGUAAUAGCCGUAUAUACUGUAUAAAUGUUGGCCGAAUAUAUAAAUAUUUCCAGAGGUUACCAUGUUACAUUUACUGUCUAAAUACAGGUGAACUUGGACGACAGCUUGAAGAGCGAGAAUCUUUGGUCUCACAGUUGUCUAGGUCAAAACAAGCUUUUACCCAGCAAAUUGAGGAACUGAAGAGACUUAUGGAAGAAGAGGUGAAGGUAUGGAUCGAAUGAGAGUUCUACACCAUGUCACUAUGCCCAGAUUGUUCAUAUUCUGUUAACAAUCUAACACAAAAUUUGUGUGAUUCUCUGAUUGCCAGGCUAAGAAUGCUCUGGCCCAUAGCUUGCAGUCUUCACGCCAUGACUGUGACCUUCUCAGGGAGCAAUAUGAGGAGGAACAGGAAGCCAAGGGUGAGCUGCAAAGAGCUCUGUCCAAAGCCAAUGGAGAAGUCUCCCAGUGGAGGACAAAAUACGAAACUGAUGCCAUUCAGCGCACAGAAGAACUGGAAGAUGCAAAGUAAUUCAGUGACAUAAUAACACAUUGACUGCAUUGAUUAUCUGUGUGUCCUUUUAAUAUUGAAUAACUGGCACAUUUAGGGAUCCCAAAACAUGGUUCUGUUCAAAUGCCCCAAGAGGUAAUAUUUUACAGACAGGUCCAGAAUUAUGUGUUAGAUCAAAUUAAAACUUUCCUUUUAUUAAGGAAUUGUUAAAAAAAAAAAAAAAAAAUCAUGUCACAACUUUACAAGUAUAAAUGACGGGCAUUGCCUCAGUUUGAAGGCAAAGGCUACAAGGAAGGAAGUCUGCAGCAGGAUGUGCAUUUUUAAAAAGCUCCAUUCAAAUGUGUCAGAGAUAUUUAGAUACAUAUGUUUUAUUAUUAUUUUAUAUGUCUAUAUAUAAUAUAGUGAUCAGCCACAACAUUAAAACCAGCAGCCCAAUAUUGUGUGUGUGUGUGUGUGUGCGUGUGUGUAUAGUAUAGUAUAUACGGUAUGUUCCUCAUCACAAAUACAUUGUGCUUAGGUCCACAGUAAAAUGUAGUAACCAUGACCUCUAGUGGUAAGAAGUGAAUAUUACUCGUUAGUUUAGUUUAGAGAGUAACCGGAAAGCACUCACACAAAUUGAAUCCUCCCAUGUUUCAAAUUCCCUCUAAGAAUCUGUAAGUAGUGGUGCAAAUUGGAUUCUGCAGCUGCCAUGGCAAUAUUUGUGAACUUAAAUCUCUGUAUUUAUUAUUCUGCAGACGUAAUUAGCAAAACAGAUUUAAUUUCCACCUCUGAGAAACUUUAUCAAGGCAUGGGACCUGUAAAUGGUCCCCUUAAACAUGUUGUUAAUCAGAGAAUCAUAUAAAAUAAGCAGACAGUAUUCUGGUAAUAUUAUCCUGAACAGUAUUUUAUGUUGGCUUAGUGGUUUUAUGGACGUCUAGAGUUGGGGAUGGCUUUGCAAUGCAUCAUGGUAAUAUCAUGGUAAUAUCCGCAUUUGCAUGAUUGGUUCAUGCUGCCAUACAGACAUUUCCUCCUGUCUCUGAUACGUGCCCCUUACUAAACUCACACAAAGUAACAUGUAUCUGUUGAUUUCAGGAAAAAGUUAGCUCAACGCCUUCAAGAAGCAGAGGAACAUAUUGAAGCUGUGAACUCCAAAUGUGCCUCCUUGGAGAAAACCAAAGUGAGGCUCCAAAGCGAAGUGGAGGACCUCAUGAUUGACGUGGAGCGGGCAAAUGCUGUUGCUGCUGCUCUCGACAAAAAGCAAAGGAAUUUCGAUAAGGUAAUUAUGUUUAGUUCAAUAAGAAAAUGUAGUAGGAUUUCAAAAAUAGCACGCCACAGCAGAUGAAGAUAGAAGAAAACUUUAAUUGGCACUUGCGAAAGGUAUACAAAUAUAGAAAAAAAUUAUCGCACAAACAGAACACUGGCUGCCUUACUCAUUGUUCUGUCAUUGGCAUUUUAACUUAAAUUUCUACCCUGUAUAAAAGGAACACAUAAAGACGUUUCCAAAUAAAAGGUCUGUGAAAGAAUAAGUACUUAUAGUAGCGGCGAAUUGACCCACCAUUUAUUAAGGCGUAAAAACUUUGGGAAAAAAAGAAUUAAAAAGAAUUUAAAUUACAUACUUAAAAAAAAAAAUACUUAAUUAAGAUCUUAGCGCUGGGCACUUCCACCCGAAAAUGCUGCUGCUGGGAGACCUAUUUAGCUUUUAUGUCCUGGACAGCUUUAUGGGAUAAGUACCUUAUCCUUAGUUGCAGUUUCAUUCAUCACAAGGAUAAGUGGUUAUUCUGAUGGCCGUCAUACGUCGCUGGUUUGUGUUUUACACAGCAUGGUUUACAGUUUUGUUAUUGCAAACUCCCAAGUCACUGACCACACAUGAGUGCGGGUGAGUUGUGCGCAUGUUGCAUGCACUAGUUGGAUGGAUCCAAUACUGGAAUUACUUAUUAUAAGCCACUCUGGGUUGGGAGACUAUGUGCAGGAUACUCUAUGUACCAUAAGCUUUGCUAUAAUGAAGUGUUUUUGUAUGAUUCUCAGUGCGACCAUUGAAUAUAGUUAUAUUAAAAUGGCUCUCAAAAAUUUCAAGAACACCAGAAAUGAUUUAUAGUAGAAUUUUCCUAAUCACCAUUUCGGCUUUCUUAGGCUUGAUACAAUUCUGCUCUAAAUUAAAUUAACGCUACCUAAGUUCAUAUUAUAUGAUAUAGGAGCCAAUGUGUCAAGAUGCAAAACUGUAGUUUGUAGUUUGAGCAGACCUACAGUUAAUGCUUUGAAUUACAACAUGUAAAAAGAUGAACUGUGAUUGGGGAGACAGAGUCAAGAAUGAAAAACAUGAAACAAUGUUAGCGAUCUGUAUCAGACUUCCCAUCUCUCUUGCUAUUAAAGAUUCUCGCCGAGUGGAAACAGAAGUAUGAGGAAACCCAGGCGGAACUCGAGUCUUCCUUAAAGGAGUCAAGAUCUUUGAGUACGGAGCUCUUCAAAAUGAAGAAUGCGUAUGAAGAAUCUUUGGAUCAGCUUGAAACAAUUAAACGUGAGAACAAGAAUCUACAAGGUGAGUAAAGAAGGGAUCUCAGGAACUAUUAGGAAUAUCAAUGGACCAACUACAUAGUCUGACAGUUUACCUAAGCUAUGUCCAUUAUCUCCAUAAUUAAAUGUCUAGGUUUAGGGACCUUUUUUGCAGGGUUCUUAAGAGAGCAUGCUAGCUACAUCAUAAUGUUUAAUGUUUUGUAGCGGAAAUAACUGAUCUGUCUGAACAAAUCGCAUCCAGUGGUAAAAUCAUUUACGAGCUUGAAAAAGCCAAGAAACAGGUGGAAUUGGAGAAAAGUGAAAUGCAAGCUUCUCUUGAAGAAGCUGAGGUAAUGUUUUAACCCCAUAGCAGAUUACAUUAAUUAGUUAGAUACAUGUUUGCCCUUUCUUCGCUGAGGUCCAUGUACUUUUGUAAUUCUUGUAUUUAGUAUUAAAGUCACAUGGCAAUGUUUUUGACCCGUGGUCUUUGUUAAGCCUGCCUUAACAUGUUUACAUAAUGCUUUUAGUAUUGAUAGAAUUUUAUUAAUCCCUAGGAGACCAAGCCCUAGGUAUGUCAGGGAACAAAUUAGUUCCUGGUUUAAUUAUUUACUCCAGUAGAUAGAUACCGUAUUAUGUAUUAAUCUAACUGUAAAUUAAAUUGAAAAUGGCAAAAACUGAGAUUUCUUUUGACACUUUUUAAAAGGCGUCCCUGGAGCACGAGGAAGCCAAAAUCCUGAGAAUUCAGCUGGAGUUGACUCAAGUGAAAGCUGACAUUGAGCGGAAGGUGGCAGAGAAAGAUGAGGAGAUUGACCAACUGAAGAGGAACCACCAGAGGACAGUGGAAACCAUGCAGACAUCUUUGGAUGCAGAGAUAAGGAGCAGGAACGAAGCAGUCAGGCUUAAAAAGAAGAUGGAAGGUGAUCUGAAUGAAAUGGAGAUCCAGCUCAGUCACUCAAAUCGAUUGGCAGCUGAAGCUCAGAAAUGUCUACGAAAUGUCCAAGGUCUACUGAAGGUACACAUAAAAUGUUUACGUUUUCUCUGAAAUCUGGACUAGUUUCCCAAACCCUUGAGCACUGAAGUUAUGUGGAUACGGGUAUUCUGUUGGUCUGUCGGGAGCAGUAAGCAGCCAUAGUGGGCGUAGGACGUUUAAAAACAUUAUAUAUACUUUUUAUUCUACAUUUGUAUUUGUAAUGAUUACAUGAGCUAUAUUCCAUGGUAGAGGGCAAUAUAUUUUUUUAAUAUAUUUAUUUUCUUACCGUGUGAAGCCUCUGAACUAUCAUUAUAGGAACCUAAGAAAAUCUAGAGACAGCUUUUCAUAAAAUGUAUUCAGCCUUAAGGUAGCAAACGUUUAACCAUGCAUUUUCUUAUGAUACACUUUCAUUAGUGGAGACUAUAGGUAGAAUAAACAGUAAAACAUAUUAUUUUUAAAAGCCACACUAUUAUGACUAGGGAUGGGUUUUACUCCUCUCAUAUCUCCCACUAGAUGUUUGGGAGUUUGGUCCCCUCCAUCUCCCUUCCUUCCUACACCCAUGCUCUGAAUUCCUUUCUGAGUCUACCAAAGUCCCAUUACUCUCAACUAUUGUCUUCAUCCACAGGACACACAGAUCCACUUGGAUGAUGCUCUCCGCGGGCAGGAGGAUCUAAAGGAACAGCUUGCCUUGGUGGAGCGUAGAAACAGCCUGUUGAUUGCUGAGAUUGAAGAGAUGAGAGCUGCUCUUGAACAGACAGAAAGAUCUAGGAAGAUUGCAGAACAAGAACUUCUGGAUACAACAGAGCGUGUCCAGCUUCUGCACUCCCAGGUAAAAUAAAACCAAUGUUCUUCAAUUUUUAACCACAGGAGAACCAUGUACAUAUUACUUUUAGGUUUAAUCUCACGCAACUGAAUGGUUUGAAAGCAGAGUAUUAUCCGGACAAAAUUAUUUCUUAAUGCCUGCAACAUAAUAAUCUCCUACUUACUCAGGAGAUUGCCAUUUUACCAAUAUUAUGGUUUUAUUAUCUGAGGUUGUCGAAUAAAUUGGUCCAUUACCCCAUAUAUACGUAUGUUCCUUGUCCAGAGCUUGUUUUUUUUAGACUGGCCAUGUGAUGUUCUGAAAUAUAAAAUCAUUAAUAUAAUAUAUGUAAAAGAAGGUGUUGAGAUAGCUCAGUUAGUGAAUGUUAAUGUGGCAGAAUCUGGUCAAUUCUAAGGUUUGAACUUAGCCAUUCUACUUGAAGUGCUUUGAAAUCCAUUAAGGGGAAAAAAGGCAAAAUAAGUAUUAAUAAUUAUUUAGUAAAGAGUUCUCUCCCUUUUUGUAAUGAGAAGACAUAAUCUUUAAUAUGCUUUAGGAUUAGAAUAGAGGUCUUUUUUUCAUGUCAAUUAUAGAUUAUCUUAGAGAAAUAUUUAUGCUUUAAGAUAGAUAGAUAGAUCAGCCACAUUAAAACCACCAACUGGUGAGGUGAAAAACAUUGAUUAUAUUGUUGCAAUGGCACAUGUGAAGAGGCGGGGUAUAUUACGCAGCAAUUGAACUGUCAGUUCUUUAAUUUUAUAUAUAUUUUUAUACUUCAAAGAAAUACAAUUUCCCCAAUGAACUUAGUGAGGUCUUGGAUUGUGGUAUAUUUGGUACUAAUGUAGAACAUUUUAGUGGCUUAUAGCUUUGUUUAGAACAGUAGAACCUCCACUAUCGUCUGCAUGGAGGAGUCAUUUACAUAGCAUCUUCUCCUUUCAUUGUGCAGAACACAAGCCUGAUUAGUACGAAGAAGAAGCUGGAAACAGAUGUUUCACAACUUCAGGGAGAAAUUGAAGAUGUCACCAAGGAAGCAAGAGAUGCCGACGAAAAAGCAAAGAAAGCCAUAACUGAUGUGAGAGCCUGUCUGUUUUCGUGUGUUUUGUAUUUUCUUUUAAAUUAAUGUAUUUUAUUUAAUAUUAUUUGCACAGAGCAAAACAUUUUGCUCAGUUAAAUUCAUUAUAAGGUAGACAUAUUGCUUUGUAAUCGCCAGGCUGCCAUGAUGGCAGAGGAAUUAAAGAAGGAACAGGACACUAGCGCUCACCUGGAGAGGAUGAAGAAGAACUUAGACCAGACAGUGAAGGACCUACAGAAUCGUCUGGAAGAAGCUGAGCAACUGGCACUGAAAGGUGGAAAGAAGCAUAUCCAGAAAUUGGAGACCAGGGUGAGUCUCUUAAAGAUGACUCUACUAUUAUUUAGUCCCACUCGUUCUUUGUGUGUAGCAUGUAAAUGGAUGAAACAAUACUCGUACGCUACAGUUACAAUUGGUGGCAGGUGACAAAAUGGGUUAUAGGCUUAGGAUUCUAGCUGUUGAACUAUACUUUUUAUUUUGCUUAGUAUUUCCUUUGGCCAAGUAAAGACCUAGAAAGUUGUAUCUCCAUGAUGUUGGUAAAAUUAGACAGGCAGUCCAAGGGCAAAUGUUUCACACGUCGUGAAGCAAAGUUUCAUCAUUCUUCUAGGUCCGAGAACUGGAGGGUGAAGUUGAUAUUGAGCAGAAGAGAUGUGCUGACUAUAUCAAAGGGGUCCGGAAAUAUGAAAGACGUGUUAAGGAGCUGUCGUUCCAGGUAAAUUUGGGAAGUAUGCAAAAUAAUGGGAUCAUCUAGACUUUUGAAGGGUGAGAAAGAUCUAAUUAAAAAAAACCUUUACAUUGCAGUCUGAAGAAGACCGAAAGAAUAUUGCACGAUUGCAAGACUUGGUUGAUAAAUUACAAAUCAAAGUGAAAUCUUACAAGAGGCAGUCAGAGGAAUCUGUGAGUAGCUUUACAUUCAUUAUUAAUAGUUUCACAUGUCAACUGGUUUGGAACUUGACGUUACAUUUAGCAUUGCAGGUCUUGUUUAAGUACUGGAAAAAUAUGUAGUUCUGGAGAUCUCAUUAGAUUAAUAAUUGUGUCAACAGAAGAUGAAAAGCUCCAGGGGAUUACUAUAUCAUAGUAUUUAAAAGUAACCAAACUAUUCCAUUAAAUAAGAUGAAAAAGCUGUAGAAAGUCUGGGUGUAUAUGGAAACCUCACCUAGAAUAUUGUACCCAGCUGUGGAGACUUUAUCUGGAGAAAGACCUAUAUACUCCAGAGAAAAUGUAAAAAAGGGCUAAUAGAAUGGUACAAAGUCUGAAUAUUUAUGUAUCAAGAGAGACUAAAGUUGCUAAAGAUGCAUGCACACCCUGUUAAUAAAGACUUAAAAUAUCUCAAGUGAUCUAAAGAACCACGAGAUAAUUAUGUUAUAUGUAAACCGACGGAAGCUAGAGAAAAGGUCAUAAUCAAAACUUGGAGAGGAUUUAAUUUAGGGCAGAUAUUCAGGGAAGAAGUCUUAAGGUAUGGAAUAACCAAUGAGAAAAGGUGAAGCAGAGUGUUCUAGAUAUUGAAAAAGACCAAGAAUGCCUAGGAUACACGUAGUAGUAGUAGUAAUAAAAUAACAUGUACUUUUAAAUGUGAACCGGCCAAAUGCGAUGGGCUUCUCCAUUCCACCAAGCUAGGCUCUCUGAUACCACUCGUGGUUCUCUCAAUGGGGCUGUGCUCACAUAAAUCUAAUAUCUCUGCUUUUAUCUUUCUUUUUUUAAUAAGUAAAGUUCAGUAUCUUUAUAUUUCCUGUAUCCAUUUCUAGAUAUUACUGUGCUUUUCCCUUCUAUAAUGCAGAAUGACCCAUUGGUUAUUUUAAAAUUACAAUUAUUGAAGUGUAUAUAAUAUAGGCUAAAAAAACAAAACAAAAACAAAAAAUGUUAUGAAUCAGGAAGGUAUGCCUCAUAAAAUGUUAUUACCCCAGUUAGGUCAGUCUACAGUUUUACAAAGCUAAUAUUAAAUACCUAUCUCACCACGAUUCAUGUAACUAGCACUCACUGUUCUUUGCUGAUUCUCUCUCUGUUUACAGGAGCAACAAUCAAACGUUCAGAUGUCCAGGUGCCGUAAAGUCCAGAAUGAGUUGGAAGAGGCUGAAGAGCGGGCAGACAUUGCUGAAAGCCAAGUCAACAAGCUCAGGAUGAGAACGAGAGAGACCGUAACCACGAAGGUUGGUUCAAUGAGUGGUUUUCCAGUGUGGCUUUCUAGAUACACUUUGCAGAUCACCUUAAGAUUUCUCCAAACCUCCCAGUUUAGUAAAUCAUUUUGUAGAAAUCAAGUGCCUUUGAAUGCAUGCAAAAACAUUGCAAACACUAUGAUAAUAUCUAUUAUUCAGCUGCCAAUAAGACCAUUUAAGGAGGAAAGCUCAAAUUAAAAUAAAAAUUGCGGCUUUGAAAGCGCCACUAGAAAACCACCAUACAUAGGGACAUAGAAUGUGACGGCAGAUAAGAACCAUUCGGCCCAUCUAGUCUGCCCGUUAUUUCAAAAUACUUUUAAUUAGUCCCUGGUCUUAUCUUAAGUCUAGGUUAGUUUGUAUUUAAAGUUGUUUUCCUCAUCUAUGUUCCCGACACAAGGUUACAAAACAUUGAAGACUCAUAUUAAAGAACUUGGUUGUUCUUAUAUUACAAACUCUUUACUAUGUUUUUUUUUUCAGGUGAUCAUGACAACUCAAGAGUAAAGAACAGAAAAUGGUAAAAAAAAAUAAAAAAUACACAAAAUGUGUGUUUUUAUUAUAUAAUUGAAAACGAUCUCCAUUAUGUGAACCAAAGAAAAUAAUUGACAUAGUGUAUUGAUUUAAUGUGGCAGUUGACAGAGAUCUUACACAAAUCUUUUUAACAUUAAAUAGAUUCCUCUUUACAAAACAAUAAAAGGACAAGGAUGUUGGACAUGAGAUUGUGAAUUACUUAGCAUGCUAACUCGCCAACUUCAACCCUGUGAUAAAAUCUCUGUUACUAGUACUGGGCUGCGCAGCUGAAUAUUUUACAAUUUUUAUACAACCUGUUAAUUCAGUUCUGUUAUUCAAGGAAGUAAAGAGUAAACUGUGGAUUAAAGGGGACAUGUUUUAAAUAGCUGCAUUGAUUUCAGAAGUAAUCUGCACUAUAUGACAUCACUAUGCAAUCUAAUAUGAAAAGUAUUUUAAAAUUUUGUAUUUGUAUUCUAUGAGAAAAUGUAGCAAAUUGACUGAGCCAGGAACUUCUUCUGUUGGUCUAUACAUUUGUUUUUAAAUUGGUCUCUAGUACAGAUUCCCCUCUUCUGAUUCCUCGUCAGUCCAUACAGUGAGUUGAACCUUAAUGACUGACCAGAGGCCAGCAGAGGAGUGUGUCCUCUGGAUUAUUGCCCCGUAUAGCGUGUUAUGUAGGAGCAAAUAGAAUAAACUCACACCCAUAACUUAGCUGUCUCACCAUCUCGACAUAUAGGUUGCUUUACACCUGGUGUGGGGAACCUUCGGCCCUCCAGAUGUUCUGCCCUACAUUUACCAUAAUGCUCUUACAGCCAUUCUGUUGGCAAAGCAUCAAGUGAGAUGUAGUCCACAUCAUUUGGAGGGCCAAAGGUUCCCUACCGCUGCUUUACGGUAUAUGUCCAGGCAGGCGAUGUUCUGUCCAUUACACUUUUUAGGUGAGGCAAGUUUUUUUAUUUUAUUUUUUAGCUACUUUUAUUAAAACACAUUAAAGCCCUAAUCACAGUCAAAAUAUACAGAACACUGGAAUCCCAUCACUUGCUGCUCUUGGUUAGAACAACCAGAAGUGGCACUCGAGAUAAAAUCUGCUUCUUUAUUAGUUAAGCUGAAUUUAGUUGUCCCAAUUCUCACUUCUCCCAAAGCCAUGGGGCAUGUUUAUAAUUCUUUAUAUAUAUUAAUAAUAAAGUAACAGAUUUUAUAUUGAGAGAUACGACUGGUUGUUAUAAGCAAAAGCAUUCUCUGUGGAAUUCCUGAGGGCUAUAGAUGGUGACUGUGUGGGUGUUUUCUUAUUAAGAGAGGAUACUAGGUAGUAUAUUCUACACAGAACCCGAGGCUAAAGUAUAGACUGAGGAUCAUGGGUGUUUGGUGGCAUGUAUGCAUGUGACAAACUGAGUGUUAAGGUUAUGUUAAGAAGAGCUUUGUGCAGCCAAUAAGAAAGGGAUUCUGCACCCUGCUUCUCUCCCAUUGGCUGAAUCCAGCUUAGAAUGCUGGAAUGCAGAUACAAUUUAUCUAUCAAGAAAGUUAAUAAGGGCCCUGACCACUUUCCAAUUAGAUAUCAAACUACAAAAUCAUGGAUGCGUUGAUGGACACAAUAAGGCAGGGGUUGACGAGCUGCUGUUGUAGAACUACAAAUUCUUAAGGCUUGCAAAGCAUCAUGGGAGGUGAAGUUCUACAAGAUUAUGGAAUCUAUCGUUUGCCCUCCUCUGCUACAGAAUUUUGGUGUGAUUCUCAGUAUCCCUUUAAGUGUAAUGGUUAAUAGUGCAUAUCACCUUGAGGAAUUCCUUCUUUAAGUCCCCCUGUUGGUCCUUGAAGGAAGAGAUGGGCAGCCCUACUGUAACAUUUUAUGCUUAUCACUGCCAUUAGUUGGUCCGGUUUCAAACUCCACAUGUGUAUGAAAGUAGAAGAGCUUGUGACGUCUGAUCUCUAAGAAAUAAACAUUCAAUACAUUGAAAUAUUCCCUGUGAAAUGCGUCUCUCUAUUUAUUGUUUGUCCUUGGGGUUUUGUGGCCCGCCACCUGGC